GAAUUUCGUAGUUUUUAUUUUUUUUUUAAAAUUUGUAUUUAACACACACACACGUAAUCUGAAACUGCUUGCCUAAAAGUCACUGGAAUCUCCUGACUCUUGCAAGAGGCACAGUCAAUGAAGCUCAGGCACCUAUGGAGCUGUGCUGCAUUCACUGGCUACUUGACAGAGUGUGUGGAGUACUUGACUCACUGAAUGCUCAUAAAAUGUGAGAUUCUGUCACCCUCACUGAGUACUUUACCCACAAAGUAGAUUACAGUACACUUCAGCCAGCAGAAACCAAUUUAUACCCACUAUCUUCAAUAUGUCUACUUAUGUAAUAAUAAUUUACUUUUCAAUGUAAAUAAGCAUGGCACAACCUAACCCAACCUAAGGAAUUUGUAGAAUCCUGCCUUAUUGAGUGAAUACACCACUGAAAAAUUGUCACUCAGGCUGAAGCUCAGGCUCUGAAGCUCACCCCUCUCUCCUCCAAGAAAGGACGUCUAUACAACUAUUUUUAGUGUGAGCCCGAGUCUGUUGACCCAGGCUUAGAGGCUCACUGCCGCAGGCUGUGUAGAUGCACCCUUUCCAUUUUUCAGUAUUGUUAAAAACUUUCUACAGUAAAAGUAUAGUUUUUAGCUGUCCAAACCA